CAGUGGCAGACGGGUGAGUAACACGUGGGAACCUUCCUAGAGGUACGGAACAACGCAGGGAAACUUGCGCUAAUACCGUAUGUGCUCUUGCGAGGAAAGAUUUAUCGCCUUUAGACGGGCCCGCGUCGGAUUAGCUAGUUGGUGGGGUAACGGCCUACCAAGGCAACGAUCCGUAGCUGAUCUGAGAGGAUGAUCAGCCACACUGGAACUGAGACACGGUCCAG
rnacentral:rRNA from 1 species